AACGAACGCUGGCGGCGUGGAUAAGACAUGCAAGUCGAACGCUGAUUUGAGGGUAGCAAUAUUCUCAAGUCGGAGUGGCGCAAGGGUGCGUAACACGUGGGCAAUUUGCCAAGAAGUUUGGGAUAACUCGCUGAAAGGCGAGCUAAUACCGGAUGUGAUGUUUGGGAGGCAUCUCUUGAACCUUAAAGUUGGGGACCGUAAGGCCUGACGCUUCUUGAUAAGCCCGCGGCCUAUCAGCUAGUUGGUGAGGUAACGGCUCACCAAGGCUAAGACGGGUAGCUGGUCUGAGAGGACGACCAGCCUCACUGGAACUGAGAUACGGUCCAGACACCUACGGGUGGCAGCAGUCGAGAAUUUUUCUCAAUGGGCGAAAGCCUGAUGGAGCGACGCCGCGUGGGGGAUGAAUGGCUUCGGCCCGUAAACCCCUGUCAUUUGCGAACAAACCUCGUAAUUUAAAAGAUGACGAGCUGAUUGUAGCGAAAGAGGAAGGGACGGCU
rnacentral:rRNA from 1 species